rnacentral:tRNA from 2 species
UGGGGCGUUGGCGGAAUGGUAGACGCACGGGACUUAAAAUCCCGGGGCCGCAAGGCCGUGUGGGUUCGAGUCCCACACGCCCCAUC